rnacentral:rRNA from 1 species
CUAUGAUGUAGAAGAGAUCAUACCAAAGCAAAAAUACAUGGUGACCCACGUCAAGGCUAAAAAGCGAGAGAAAUGGUUCAAAUGCCGAUAUGAGGUCAAUGUGUUUGAUAAUCUGGGGUAUUUCUCGUGCAUAUGCGGCCUGUUCGAGCACAUGGGUAUGGUCUGCUGUCACUCGUUGCAGGUCAUGAAUGUGCUCCGGCUUAGGGAGAUUCCCCACAGGCACAUCUUGAAGAGGUGGAGCAUACAUGGCAGAGAUAAUUUGCCGGAUCAUCUCAAACAUUACCAACAGGACAUGGGCCCGCCGGACGCACCCACUUAUAGACAUUCUGCUUUGUACAUCACUGCCCUGGAGGUGGUUAAAAUGGGCGACAGAAACCUAGAAGCAUACAAAUUCAUGUUGGAUGGAUUGGUGGAUCUUGGGGAGAGAGGAGCUGAGAUUAGCGCAC